GGGUGCGCACACGUCGUGUGUAGCAGGUACAGCGUUGGUCGGGCCGCCACG
rnacentral:ncRNA from 1 species